CCUACGGGAGGCAGCAGUGAGGAAUAUUGGUCAAUGGACGAGAGUCUGAACCAGCCAAGUAGCGUGAAGGAUGACUGCCCUAUGGGUUGUAAACUUCUUUUAUAUGGGAAUAAAAUGUUCCACGUGUGGGAUUUUGUAUGUACCAUAUGAAUAAGGAUCGGCUAACUCCGUGCCAGCAGCCGCGGUAAUACGGAGGAUCCGAGCGUUAUCCGGAUUUAUUGGGAUUAAAGGGAGCGUAGGUGGAUUGUUAAGUCAGUUGUGAAAGUUUGCGGCUCAACCGUAAAAUUGCAGUUGAAACUGGCAGUCGUGAGUACAGUAGAGGUGGGCGGAAUUCGUGGUGUAGCGGUGAAAUGCUUAGAUAUCACGAAGAACUCCGAUUGCGAAGGCAGCUCACUGGACUGCAACUGACACUGAGGCUCGAAAGUGUGGGUAUCAAACAGGAUUAGAUACCCCUGUAGUC
rnacentral:rRNA from 1 species